AAAAGAGCAUGGUUACAUGACAUUUGAUUUGUCGGAGUUUGUAAACUUUGUAGUCAUAGAGUCAUAAAUGGGAAUAAUAGAACGUUACAAUUUGACGACGAGGUAAAGAAGAACCUAGAAAUUCAGAUGGUUGAAAAUGUUAAUGCAUCUUUAGUCCCUAUGGAUUUAUCAGUGGAGGAAGGAAAUCUUAAGUACAGGGGAAGCAGGCAGAUGUGUGACACAGUUAUUUAAACAGCUGUUGCUUCUGGUUCACUGUGGAUAUUUUGACUUAGGUUGAAGUUGAGAAGUUCCUCUGGUGAUGGUCUAUAUCCAGGAAUUUGAACUAAACUGUGGAUACGUGUUAUUGAACCAUCAGUUCCAUCUGGUUUUCGCUCCCAAUUGAAUAUUGUGCCAUCACGGGUCCAACCUCCAUUUAUUAACUUGGAUUUGAACGAUUUCCGUGUGUGGUGGAAGAUGUGCGCUCUGCACCGUGUCAAAUCUUCGUUUAUAUAAAUGUUUAUGACUUUCUUACCACGCAUUAUGGAAACUUUAGUUUUGUAGCUAGACAGUCGAACGGUAAUCUUUUUGGGGUUUCCCAUAAUUGAUUUACCAACCCUGUGGCUGCUUUGUAUGUCAGUCGGUGCUAUGGCUGGGAUGACUUGUUUAAGUACAUUGAUAACUUUAUUUUCUAGUAUUUCGUUUGGAGUGUCUGUGAUACCACUAAUACGAAUGCAGUUUGGCCUACCAUAUUGUUCCAGAUCAUCACAGCGUUCGUUUAACAUACCGUUUAGUUGGAGUGUGACAGAUGAUAACUCAUAUUUUGAGUCAUGGAUUUCUUUCCUUAAUGGGGCAAUGAAUUUAUCUAUCUGUUCUCUCAGGAUAAAAGUGAUCAUUGGUCUGAUAGAAUUCUGGACUUCUGGUUUUCCGAAAGCUCUGGAUAAUUCCAUGGUCACUGCAUUGAGUGUGCUUGUAAACGCCUAACUGGUGUUACGAUCAGUAUUGUCCGUCAUGAAUGUUGUAAUAGUGCUCUGCUGGAGUUUACUUUUUUUUAAAUUAUAGCUUUUAGCACCGGUAGCCAGAAGUAGGUCAGUUUGGAUCUGGAAUAGGGAGGUUGAGCCCUUUCUUUUUCUGUCUUCCUUAACUCUGGCAAGAGUAUACAUGGAGUUUUGAUGUUUUAUAUUUGAAUGUUAAUUAGUCGUA